UGGGGAUCCUUUUUCAAAUAUAUAUCGAAACUACUUAGGGCAUCGGUCCUCUCCGCGAAAAGAAACGUUAGGGGAAGUUAAAGAACGUUUGCAGCAGGAAUUAUUCUCUGUACCAGAAGAAGCGUUGGGGGACGUCCAAAAGUUCUUGCGGCAGUACGUAGUCCCUGGACCAGAAGAAACGUUGGGAGAAGCCCAACAGCAUUUACAACAAAAACAAUUUCCUGUAUGCAAAGAAACUUUGAGAGAAAAACAAGCAUGG
rnacentral:lncRNA from 1 species